AUGAACGCUAGCUACAGGCUUAACACAUGCAAGUCGAGGGGCAGCAUGGUCUUAGCUUGCUAAGGCCGAUGGCGACCGGCGCACGGGUGAGUAACACGUAUCCAACCUGCCGUCUACUCUUGGACAGCCUUCUGAAAGGAAGAUUAAUACAAGAUGGCAUCAUGAGUCCGCAUGUUCACAUGAUUAAAGGUAUUCCGGUAGACGAUGGGGAUGCGUUCCAUUAGAUAGUAGGCGGGGUAACGGCCCACCUAGUCUUCGAUGGAUAGGGGUUCUGAGAGGAAGGUCCCCCACAUUGGAACUGAGACACGGUCCAAACUCCUACGGGAGGCAGCAGUGAGGAAUAUUGGUCAAUGGGCGAGAGCCUGAACCAGCCAAGUAGCGUGAAGGAUGACUGCCCUAUGGGUUGUAAACUUCUUUUAUAAAGGAAUAAAGUCGGGUAUGGAUACCCGUUUGCAUGUACUUUAUGAAUAAGGAUCGGCUAACUCCGUGCCAGCAGCCGCGGUAAUACGGAGGAUCCGAGCGUUAUCCGGAUUUAUUGGGUUUAAAGGGAGCGUAGAUGGAUGUUUAAGUCAGUUGUGAAAGUUUGCGGCUCAACCGUAAAAUUGCAGUUGAUACUGGAUAUCUUGAGUGCAGUUGAGGCAGGCGGAAUUCGUGGUGUAGCGGUGAAAUGCUUAGAUAUCACGAAGAACUCCGAUUGCGAAGGCAGCCUGCUAAGCUGCAACUGACAUUGAGGCUCGAAAGUGUGGGUAUCAAACAGGAUUAGAUACCCUGGUAGUCCAUGCCGUAAACGAUGAUUACUAGGUGUUGGGGGAUUGACCCCCUCAGUGCCGCAGUUAACACAAUAAGUAAUCCACCUGGGGAGUACGACCGCAAGGUUGAAACUCAAAGGAAUUGACGGGGCCCGCACAAGCGGAGGAACAUGUGGUUUAAUUCGAUGAUACGCGAGGAACCUUACCCGGGCUUAAAUUGCAGAUGAAUUACGGUGAAAGCCGUAAGCCGCAAGGCAUCUGUGAAGGUGCUGCAUGGUUGUCGUCAGCUCGUGCCGUGAGGUGUCGGCUUAAGUGCCAUAACGAGCGCAACCCUUGUUGUCAGUUACUAACAGGUUCCGCUGAGGACUCUGACAAGACUGCCAUCGUAAGAUGUGAGGAAGGUGGGGAUGACGUCAAAUCAGCACGGCCCUUACGUCCGGGGCUACACACGUGUUACAAUGGGGGGUACAGAGGGCCGCUACCACGCGAGUGGAUGCCAAUCCCCAAAACCUCUCUCAGUUCGGACUGGAGUCUGCAACCCGACUCCACGAAGCUGGAUUCGCUAGUAAUCGCGCAUCAGCCACGGCGCGGUGAAUACGUUCCCGGGCCUUGUACACACCGCCCGUCAAGCCAUGGGAGCCGGGGGUACCUGAAGUGCGUAACCGCGAGGAGCGCCCUAGGGUAAAACUGGUGACUGGGGCU
rnacentral:rRNA from 1 species